rnacentral:sRNA from 2 species
ACAUAUUUUCUCCCUUCCCGAUCUGCCAAGCACUGACUAUGCCGAUGUAUUCUUGUUCUGGCGGAUAGAGUGGGGCUCCUUUACGACACACCCAUUUGAUAAGGAAAAAGGAGUAACCUGCAUAUCGAACGAUAGAUAGAAGGGGCUUAUUUAUGUACAACACAUUUCGCUAGCCUAAUGUACACUUCGCUCGCCUCGAUAACUUAUAUACAAGAGUGGAUAACAUGGCUCUAUGACCGUCUAAAAAGAUUAUUCGGAGAGAUCGCAAAAAUUAAAACAAAAAUCAACUAAAAUAAAAAAAAAAAAAAACCAAUACACCUAACACACAUCGCACUCACGCAACAGCUCCUCCCGAAUCCACCUGUCUAGGCUCCCCAACCGCUUCAUACAUGCCAUCCGCCAUCAGCCGGAUAGCUUGCACCUUGCUGGCCCCCGGAAGAACCCAUUUCACCGAAUGAUUCCUACUGAUCAUAAACGCCACCGUGCUGUUAUCAAACGAAUACUCAAACUCUGACACAUUCGGGCUAAGCUGGUCAUGGACACGGGGUUCCUUGAGCGCGUCAUAGGUGGUCAUAUUCCUGUCAAGGAGAUUGAUGACACUUUGCACGGUGCCAGUGAUGAUACGCGACCCACCCGCGGCACCCGUGAUGAAAUAGACCGUGCCGUUGGGAUGGGUGACGAUCACCGGGCAUAUGGAAGAGAGCAUGCGCUUGCCCGGUUCGAUGAAGUUGGCAGGUGAGGGGAUGUAGCCGAAUGAGUUGUUGGUGCCGGGGAUGGAAAAGUCAUCCAUGUCGUUGUUCAUGAUAAUGCCGGUUUCGGGAACCAUGACUUUGCUUCCGAAGAGGAGGUUUAUGGUUGUGGUGAGGCUGAUGGUGAGGCCUCUGGAGUCGGCGGCGACGAUGUGGGAAGUUCCCGGACUGUGCAUGAGUGAGUGUGGAUGUCAGCUUUUCGAUCUUUGAAGCGCUGAAUGCACAAUGGGUCCAAUUGUUUGUUUUGUCCAUCGUUUCCACCGAAGUUUCAAGGAUUUGAGUUGGGGAGUUGGGGAUUUGGGGCUGGCACAUACGUUUCUAGGCUUUCAAAUCCAUUGGGGUUAUAAUCAGAGACAUUGAGAGUAUGCGAAUCAGAGAUUUUGUUUCGGAUAAUAGCAGCCAUGGAGCUAUUUAGCAUAUGAUCUUCAUAUUCAUCCAUUCCCUCCGAAUAGGAUGGGUCAGCCAAAUGCGUUCGCUACGGGGAAAAGAAGGACCGGAAGAAACAUAGGUCAGCAUUCAGAAAUAUGAACUCUAUCACGC